UACGUAGGGUGCAAGCGUUGUCCGGAAUUAUUGGGCGUAAAGAGCUCGUAGGCGGUUUGUCGCGUCUGCUGUGAAAACUCGGGGCUUAACUCCGGGCCUGCAGUGGGUACGGGGCAGACUAGAGUGUGGUAGGGGGAGACUGGAAUUCCUGGUGUAGCGGUGAAAUGCGCAGAUAUCAGGAGGAACACCGAUGGCGAAGGCAGGUCUCUGGGCCACUACUGACGCUGAGAAGCGAAAAGCGUGGGGGAGCAAAACAGG
rnacentral:rRNA from 1 species